UGAACGCUGGCGGCGUGCCUAAUACAUGCAAGUCGAACGAUGAAGCUCUAGCUUGCUAGAGUGGAUUAGUGGCGCACGGGUGAGUAAUGCAUAGAUAACAUGCCCUUUAGUCUAGGAUAGCCAUUGGAAACGAUGAUUAAUACUGGAUACUCCUUACGAGGGAAAGUUUUUCGCUAAAGGAUUGGUCUAUGUCCUAUCAGCUUGUUGGUGAGGUAAUGGCUCACCAAGGCUAUGACGGGUAUCCGGCCUGAGAGGGUGAACGGACACACUGGAACUGAGACACGGUCCAGACUCCUACGGGAGGCAGCAGUAGGGAAUAUUGCUCAAUGGGGGAAACCCUGAAGCAGCAACGCCGCGUGGAGGAUGAAGGUUUUCGGAUUGUAAACUCCUUUUGUUAGAGAAGAUAAUGACGGUAUCUAACGAAUAAGCACCGGCUAACUCCGUGCCAGCAGCCGCGGUAAUACGGAGGGUGCAAGCGUUACUCGGAAUCACUGGGCGUAAAGAGCGCGUAGGCGGGAUAGCAAGUCAGAUGUGAAAUCCUAUGGCUUAACCAUAGAACUGCAUUUGAAACUGUUAUUCUAGAGUAUGGGAGAGGUAGGUGGAAUUCUUGGUGUAGGGGUAAAAUCCGUAGAGAUCAAGAGGAAUACUCAUUGCGAAGGCGACCUGCUAGAACAUAACUGACGCUGAUGCGCGAAAGCGUGGGGAGCAAACAGGAUUAGAUACCCUGGUAGUCCACGCCCUAAACGAUGAAUGCUAGUUGUUGUGGAGCUUGUCUCUGCAGUAAUGCAGCUAACGCAUUAAGCAUUCCGCCUGGGGAGUACGGUCGCAAGAUUAAAACUCAAAGGAAUAGACGGGGACCCGCACAAGCGGUGGAGCAUGUGGUUUAAUUCGAAGAUACGCGAAGAACCUUACCUAGGCUUGACAUUGAUAGAAUCCUAUAGAGAUAUGGGAGUGCCCUUUUAGGGAGCUUGAAAACAGGUGCUGCACGGCUGUCGUCAGCUCGUGUCGUGAGAUGUUGGGUUAAGUCCCGCAACGAGCGCAACCCUCGUCCUUAGUUGCUAACUAUUCGGUAGAGCACUCUAAGGAGACUGCCUUCGCAAGGAGGAGGAAGGUGAGGAUGACGUCAAGUCAUCAUGGCCCUUACGCCUAGGGCUACACACGUGCUACAAUGGGAAGCACAAAGAGAUGCAAUAUUGUGAAAUGGAGCAAAUCUAUAAAACUUCUCUCAGUUCGGAUUGUAGUCUGCAACUCGACUACAUGAAGCUGGAAUCGCUAGUAAUCGUAAAUCAGCUAUGUUACGGUGAAUACGUUCCCGGGUCUUGUACUCACCGCCCGUCACACCAUGGGAGUUGUAUUCGCCUUAAGUCGGAAUGCCAAACUGGCUACCGCCCACGGCGG
rnacentral:rRNA from 1 species